GAAGGGGGAUGAAAGGAUGCUUUUUUUGAGCAUUUCCCUUCUAUCACAAUGGAAAGGGCAAUCGCAGGAACAACGACGACAACAAUACGACAACUGCCCAUGCCACUUGUGUCCCGCCACGUGGCCGUGAUUGGAGCUGGCGCCGGCGGUCUUGUAACGGCCCGGGAGCUCCGGCGCGAGGGUCUCAGCGUGGUGGUCUUCGAGCAAGCCGACCAGGUGGGCGGCACCUGGGUCUACACCCCAAAGGUCGAGUCCGACCUGCUCGGACUCGGCCCCAUCCGGACCACGAUCCACUCAAGCCUCUACCGCUCCCUCCGCACGAACCUCCCCCGGGAGUCCAUGGGUUUCCGGGACUACCCUUUCGUCUCACGGGAUGACCCGGACCGAGAUCCGAGGCGCUUCCCGGGUCACCGAGAGGUCCUCAUGUAUCUCGAAGACUUCGCGCGCGAGUUUGGGAUUGCUGAAUUGGUGCGGCUGGAGACGGAGGUAAUGCGCGUGGGAUUAGUGGAGGGCUCGAAAUGGAAAGUGAUGUCAAGAAAGAGAGGCAGAGACGAAACGAGUGUGGAUGAGAUUUUUGAUGCCGUUGUUGUGUGUAACGGCCACUACACCGAGCCUCGUGUCGCUGAAAUUCCCGGCAUGAGUAAAUGGCCUGGGAAGCAAAUUCAUAGCCACAAUUACCGUGUUCCAGAGCCUUUUCGAGAUCAAAUUGUAGUUUUGAUAGGGAGUUCAGCAAGUGCUUUUGAUAUUUCUCGGGACAUUGCUGGUGUUGCCAAAGAAGUACAUAUUGCUGCGAGAACAAUUGGAGAUGGAACAUUUGGAAAGCAGGCUGGCUAUGAUAACAUGUGGCUUCAUCCUAUGAUACAAAGUGUCUGUGAAGAUGGUACUGUAUAUUUCCAAGACCGUAGCUUUAUCCUUGCUGAUGUCAUUCUUCACUGCACAGGGUACAAGUAUCAUUUUCCUUUUCUUGAAACGGAUGGCUUUGUGACUGUGGAUGACAACCGUGUGGGGCCAUUGUACAAGCACAUUUUCCCGCCAGUCUUGGCCCCAUGGCUUUCCUUUGUUGGGUUACCGUGGAAGGUUAUUCCUUUUCCCAUGUUUGAAUUACAAGGCAAGUGGAUAGCUGGUGUCUUGUCUAAUCGUCUCAUGCUUCCAUCACAACAAGAGAUGAUGGAAGAUGUUGAAGCUUUCUACUCAUCGGCCGAAGUUUCUGGCAUGCCUAAGCGGUACACUCACAAUUUGGGUGGUAGUCAGGACCAUCAUAUCAACUUUCCAGUCCAAGGUCCAGUUAUGCGGUCUAUUUCUAAGGCACGUAACAACUUGUUACCAGAGCCAACAAUGUCUUCACCUUCCUCGUUGCCUUCCGAGCAACGGCUGGAACCAUUGGAGACUAAAUUUGAUUCUGAGAUGCGGGAGCUUUCACAGCAAUGAAUUCCAGGUUUGAUCAACUGUUUGAUCAUCGACACACCAACACAGGGAUUUGAUCUAAUAAUCGCAGUGAAGGACCACGAAUGCCCCAGACAGGUUUGGGCACCAGAGGAUCAAUGGCUCCUAGGGUGUCUAAGUUAGAUUUUCCGCGCUAUUGUAGCAAUGACGACUCGACUAGUUGGAUUUACCGGAUCGAGCAAUUUUUUGAAUUCCAUGGUACAAACGAGGAGGAGAGACUACCCUUAGCUGCCUACCGUAACGAAAAGAGUAGUGACGCUUUUAAAGAGGGGGAGUCUCCAUGCUAGGUAUGGUCCAACCCUUUUUGAGGAUUUUUUUUGAUUAUUUAUCUAAGCUGAAACAGGUUGGGUCAGUGCGUGACUAUCAAAUUCAAUUAAAAAGACUCCCAAGUCAUGUUGGCAAAUUUUCUCUAGAACACCAAUUGGGGCAUUUCAUCAGUGGGCUUAAACAUGAUAUGCACGGAGGUUCAAGCAGCACGCCCCGCAAGCCUCAUCGCUGCAAUAGGCUUGGCACAGUUGUACGAAGCCAAGCAACAAGCCCAAUGCCGGAAUAGUUUGCCGGAACCCCUAAGGCCCCCCAAUCUGCCGCCCAUGCCAUCGUGGGUGCUAACCCUAGCCAAGAAUCCCCAAAUCAAAAAACUCAUAGCAAAAGAAUUAAAAGAUAGAAGGGGCAGAGGGUUGUGUUUGAAUUAUGACGAGAAAUUCAAACCUGGCCAUUGAUGUGCCAAAUUGUUUUGGCUAGAAUUGAAGGAUGAUGAAGAGGAAGCACUACCAGAAUGGGUUGAUGCGGAAAAUUUCAAAGGAUUUCUCAGAGAGGGGGAGGAGCUGCCAGCAAUUUCUCUACACGCCAUCACCGAAGCUCACGGUCCUUGCACGAUGUGGAUAAAAAAGACUAUGGGUGGCUGCAAAAUCCUGCUUCUCUUUGAUAGUGGAAGCAUGUUAUGGGCCUGUGUUUGGGAUUGUGUUUGUGAGCGAGUAAUGGGUUUGGUGAGGGGCAAAGCCGCUGAAUCAGUCUUCUUGGGUUUACCUAUGGUGAAGGUGAUGAAUGGAUAAUGGGGUAUUCGAGGUACCCCUGCCUCCUAACAACCAUAGAAGUCGUUUGUUGAUAAUUUUCUUCAUACUUUAUUUCUCCUCAAAACCCCUUAUUAAUAGGGUGCAAACAAACAUAGAAAUAAUACUAUUCCCUUAUUUGGUCUCCUACAAAUCUGCUGCUAAUGGGAAUUAUAAUCUCUUAUUCUUAGGCUGAAUCUUAGGCUGCUAGUGGGGGAUAACAACCCCUUAUUUCUAGGAACUUCCUAGCCCAAAGUCGUGCUGUCCAAGUACUCGACUUUCCUCCCUUACAUCCCAUAUGUGUCUCAGCCGCCAUUAGGGUUUACUAGGGUUUUGUUUUGCCUAGCAUAGAUACGUAACACUCCUCCGGCCUUAAAAUGACCCUUGUCCUCAAGGGUAAAAGUUGGAAAGCGAAGUUUGAAGUCCGAGAGGAGUUCCCACGUGGCAUCAGCGGGUGAGAGCUCCUUCCAAUGCACCAGUAUUUCCGGAUUUCCCUGCUGGAGUCGUUGAUCAAGGAUGGCUUGGGGAGUCAACUGGCUAUCUUUUGAAAUAAGGGGGAGAUCAUCUUGAAGACAUGAAAUACAUCAUGGAUUUUGGCUUUUGGUGGGAGUGCAAGGCAGCAUGCUACAAGGCCGAUCUGUUUGACAAUUCUGUAGGGCCCAUAGAACUUGGGGGCUAGUUUUGGAUGCUGGUAGUCUGCACAGAGUUUUGCUGGUACCCUUGGAGUUUCAAGUAGACCCAUUCUUCUUCGGAAAACACCCAUUCCAUAUGAUCUUUAUCAUACGCCUGUUUCAUUCGAUUCUGAGCUUCCAACAAAUGUUGUCGCACCUCCCGAAGAAUGUCAUCUCGGGCCUUCAAUGUAUCUUCAACAGCAACGGACCUGGUUGUGCUGGGAAUGUAUGGCAAUAAGGAAGCUGGAGGACAAUCGUAAACGAUCUUAAAGGGAGUUCGCUUAGUGGCCGAAUGAAAACCCGUGUUGUAACAAUACUCCACCCAAGGGAGCCACUUGGCCCAUUGUUUUGGUGAAGAGCUGGUGAAGCACCGCAAAUACAUUUCCUAUGCUCGGGUGAAAAUUUGUCAUCGCAAUUGAAGUAAAGGCCCCUGUCCCUUCGGUCCUUCAAUUCGGCUGGGCUUAGUUUUCGGAUCAUUGGAGCUCGGUUUCGCACCAAAUUGGCUGACGGCAGUGGCGGUAUGUUGGGUGGUCCCGUGGCCCUCCUUGGCUCUAAAACGUUUGGGCCUCUUCGUUGUGACAGCAGCCAUGCCUCAUACAACCUUGCAAGCCCCACUGCGGCAGUGAGGGUGGUGGGUCGGGAGGCUUGGGCUUUCGGCCUAAUACUCUCUUUGAGGCCGCUGAUGAACCCCUCGUUUUGUAGGGCUACCGAAAGUCUUCGGCACUGCUCAACAAGCGCUCGUAUGGUCCCUGAUAUUCCCGUACGGUCCUUGUUUGCCGCAAUUUAGUGAGGUCCCCAAAGAAAUCAUCAAACUGCGUAGUGCCAUAUCUCACAUGCAGCCCAUCCUUCAAUUGCUCCCAUGAUGCGUCCUCCUUAGUCUCCUUAAAGAGCCGGUACCGUAAUUGCGCCUCACCCUCAAGAUGGUAGGUUGCCAAAACUACCUUGUCUUCUUUUGCAGUAUGUUGAAAUUCAAAAAACUGCUCCGCACGACAUACCCAACUGGUUGGAUCUUCGGUACCAUCAUACUUAGAAAAGUUCAAUUUGGCAACCUUUGGGAAAGAGUUGCUAGAUUCAGUCUAGGCGACUGUCCUGCCAAACCCAGAGGAACCUGCGAAUUUGCUGUGUCUUCCGCUCAGGCUGUUUGGAAUUGGUCGACCAGAACCGCCAGCAUCUCUUCCAUCUGUUUCCUGAGUCGUCGGUCUUCCAUCGAUCCCAUCUCCUUCUCCAAUCUUUUGAUCCGUGGUUCCGUCAUGUCACAACCUGGCUCUGAUACUAAAAUGUUAUGGGCCUGUGUUUGGGAUUGUGUUUGUGAGCGAGUGAUGGGUUUGGUGAGGGGCAAAGUUGCAGGAUUGGUCUUCCUGGGUUUACCUAUGGUGAAGGUGAUGAAUGAAUAAUGGGGUAUUCGAGGUAUCCCUGCCUCCUAACAACUAUAGAAGUCGUUUGUUGAUAAUUUUCUGCAUGCUUUAUUUCUCCUCAAAACCCCUUAUUAAUAGGGUGCAAACAAACAAAUAAAUAAUACUGAAAUAACCGAUUCUAGGGAAAGUAUAAUUCCCUUAUUUGGUCUCCUUCAAAUCUGCUGCUAAUGGGAAUUGUAAUCCCUUAUUCUUAGGCUGAAUCUUAGGCUGCUAGUGGGUGAUAACAACCCCUUAUUUCUAGGAACUUCCUAACCCAAAGUUGUGCUCCCCAAGUACACGACUUUCCUCCCUUACAUCCCCAUAAGUGUCUCAGCCGCCACUAGGGUUUACUAGGGUUUUGUUUCGCCUAGCAUAGGUACAUAACAAAGCACUCACAACUUCAUCAGCACCGCCAUGACCCAAAGAGUGGGAAUCUCGUCGACGAAGGGAGGAAGACUGGAGGUCCUCGUGGCUAACGGCGAAUGGUUGCUCAAUGGGGGUGUUUGUCGUGGAAUCACCAUAUGGCUGGACAACGUUUUCUUCAUGGUGGACUUCUGCAUACUAGAUAUUGAAGGAUGUGAGGCUGUAUUAGCGGCUGUGGCUGAGGGUCUUAGGUUCCAUUUUGUGGGAUUUUUCAAGUCUAUGGAUGAGUUUUGUGUGGGAAGGAGACUGGGAAGUGUUGCAGGGAAUUUCAACGCCUCAAGAUAAGGUGGUAGAUUGGACAAAGUUUCUGAAACUCGUGGCUGCUGCAGAGGUAUGACAAAUCAAGGCAGUCCACUUAGGAGAAAAGGGAGCCCAAUUUGAAGAAGUGGAGCCCGGUAUCCAGGCCUUACUUGAUCACUACUCUAGCCUGUUUCAUGAGCCCAAAGGCGUAGCACUUGCCAGAGCCCAUAAUCAUAAAAUUCCAAUCUUGUCAAGCCAUGGUCUGGUCAGCGUUUGGCCUUAUGAGUAUCCUUUUUAUCAAAAAAAAAAAAAAAAAAAAAAAAAUGAAAUUGAGUGGCAAGUCUCUUGCUUUUUAAAUUCCAGAGUAGUAACAGUUAGCACAAGAAGAAACAUGAUGGAUCAUGGAGAUUAUGUGUGUUGACUACUGAGCUUCGAAUCCAAUCAUGGGAAAUUUAUCUAAGGAUAAAUUUCCCCAUACCUGUGAUAGAUGAUCUUCUGAAUGAGUUGCAUGGGGGCCAGAGUUUUCUCCAAAUUGGGCUUACGUUUAGGCUAUCAUCAAAUCAGAGUUCAUCCACCAGAUACUGAAAAGACGGCAUUUCGGAUCCACCAUGGGCACUACGAAUUUCUAGUAAUGCAGUUUGGGCUAUCCAAUGCCCAGUCCACCUUUCGGGCCCUAAAGAACAUCUUUCAGAAGUUCGAGUACAAUGCUUGGCUUGCCGCCCAUUGUGGAUGUCCUGCAGAUGAAGAAUGGAGAAAACAAAUGUAUUACUCAACUGCAAAGAACAGACUUGCUCGACCUGAGUCUUACCGUGACGAAUGGGAA